UACGAAGGGGGGCUAGCGUUGCUCGGAAUCACUGGGCGUAAAGCGCACGUAGGCGGAUCGUUAAGUCAGGGGUGAAAUCCUGGAGCUCAACUCCAGAACUGCCUUUGAUACUGAAGAUCUUGAGUUCGGGAGAGGUGAGUGGAACUGCGAGUGUAGAGGUGAAAUUCGUAGAUAUUCGCAAGAACACCAGUGGCGAAGGCGGCUCACUGGCCCGAUACUGACGCUGAGGCACGAAAGCGUGGGGAGCAAACAGG
rnacentral:rRNA from 1 species